rnacentral:rRNA from 1 species
UACGUAGGGUGCAAGCGUUAAUCGGAAUUACUGGGCGUAAAGCGUGCGCAGGCGGUUAUGUAAGACAGAUGUGAAAUGCCCGGGCUUAACCUGGGAACUGCAUUUGUGACUGCAUGGCUAGAGUUUGGCAGAGGGGGGUAGAAUUCCACGUGUAGCAGUGAAAUGCGUAGAUAUGUGGAGGAACACCGAUGGCGAAGGCAGCCCCCUGGGUCAAGACUGACGCUCAUGCACGAAAGCGUGGGGAGCAGGACAGG